CCUACGUGCGGCAGCAGUGGGGAAUAUUGGGCAAUGGGCGCAAGCCUGACCCAGCAACGCCGCGUGAAGGAAGAAGGCUCUCGGGUUGUAAACCUCUUUUUUCAGGGACGAAGCAAGUGACGGUACUUGAGGAAUAAGUCACGGCUAACUACGUGCCAGCAGCCGCGGUAAUACGUAGGUGGCAAGCGUUAUCCGGAUUUACUGGGUGUAAAGGGCGUGUAGGCGGGGACGCAAGUCAGAUGUGAAAACCACGGGCACAACCUGUGGCCUGCAUUUGAAACUGUGUUUCUUGAGUACGGGAGAGGCAGACGGAAUUCCUGGUGUAGCGGUGAAAUGCGUAGAUAUUAGGAGGAACACCAGUGGCGAAGGCAGUCUGCUGGACAGCAACUGACGCUGAGGCGCGAAAGCGUGGGGAGCAAACAGGAUUAGAUACCCGGGUAGUC
rnacentral:rRNA from 1 species